UCGAACGCAGUAGCAAUACUGAGUGGCAGACGGGUGAGUAUAAUGUGGGAAUCUGCCUUUUGGUUCGGAAUAACACGAGGAAACUUGUGCUAAUACCGGAUAAGUCUUUACGGAGAAAGCUUUAUGCACCAUUGGAUGAGCCCGCACUUGAUUAGCUAGUUGGUAAGGUAAUGGCUUACCAAGGCAACGAUCAAUAGCUGUUCUUAGAGGAAGACCAGCCACAUUGGGACUGAGACACGGCCCAAACUCC
rnacentral:rRNA from 1 species